rnacentral:rRNA from 1 species
GGUCAAGCUACAAAGGGCGCACGGUGAAUGCCUUGGCGCUUGAGGCCGAUGAAGGACGCGGUUACCUGCGAAAAGAUCCGGGGAGUUGGUAGCAAACGGUGAUCCGGAUAUCUCCGAAUGGGGGAACCCCAUCAGGACUAACCCUGAUGACUCGCACCUGAAUACAUAGGGUGCGUAGAGGGCACCGAGGGAACUGAAACAUCUCAGUACCUCGAGGAACAGAAAAUAUUCCCUGAGUAGUGGCGAGCGAAACGGGAAGAGCCCAAACCCGAUCCACGUGAUAGCCGGCAGGCGUUGUGGAGUGGGUGUUGUGAGGCUCGACGGCGGAUCUGCCGAUCCGUAACGGAGUUAAAAACGUGACAGCUAGUGGAAUGCCGCCUGGAACGGCCAACCGAAGAGGGUGAGAGUCCCGUACACGAAAGUUGUCACGCUCCGGUCGAAGUCCUCGAGUACCACCCGGAAGGUCUCCAGGGUGGGAAACUGGGCAGACCAUUGUCUAAGGCUAAAUACCUCAAGCGACCGAUAGUGAACUAGUACCGUGAGGGAAAGGUGAAAAGCACCCCUGGCGGGGAGUGAAAUAGAAACUGAAACCGUGUGCCUACAAGCAGUCGAAGCGUGUUGCUGCGCAAGCAGUAGCGUGACGGCGUGCCUAUUGAAGAAUGAUCCGGCGAGUUAGCUGUAUGCGGCGAGGUUAAGGCCUGACGGCUGGAGCCGAAGCGAAAGCGAGUCUGAAUAGGGCGUGGGUCGCAAGACCCGUAGUCGCAUGCACUAGACCCGAAACCGCGUGAGCUACCCAUGGCCAGGCUGAAGCGGAGGUAAUACUCCGUGGAGGGCCGAACUCUUCAACGUUGAAAAGUUGAGGGAUGAGCUGUGGGUAGAGGCGAAAUGCCAACCGAACGCGGAGAUAGCUGGUUCUCCUCGAAAUAGCUUUAGGGCUAGCGUUGCGCGUUCCCUCUUUGAGGUAGAGCACUGGAUGGGCUAGGGGGCUUAUCGCUUACCAAACCCAACCAAACUCCGAAUGCGAAGAGGCGAAGCGUGGCAGUCAGACUCCGGGGGCUAAGCUCCGGGGUCAAAAGGGAAACAGCCCAGACCAACAGCUAAGGUCCCUCAAUCCAGGCUAAGUGGGAAAGGAUGUUGGAUCGCUCAGACAACCAGGAUGUUGGCUUAGAAGCAGCCAUCAUUGAAAGAGUGCGUAACAGCUCACUGGUCGAGUGAUCCAGCGCCGAAAAUCCAACGGGGCUCAAGCCUGGUACCGAAGCUUUGGAUGCACGAUCUCUUCGGAGAUCGUGCGUGGUAGAGGAGCGUUCUCAGUGCAGUGAAGGUGGACCGUGAGGACCGCUGGAGCGCUGAGAAGUGCGAAUGCCGGAACGAGUAGCGAAACAUGUGUGAGAAACAUAUGCGCCGUAUGCCUAAGGUUUCCUGAGGAAGGUUAAUCCGCUCAGGGUCAGUCGGGCCUAAGUCGAGGCCGAAAGGCGUAGACGAUGGACAUCCGGUUUAUAUUCCGGAACCGCUCAAGAUCGUUAUCAACAAAGGGGUGACUCAGUCUGGUAGUCCCAGCGCACUUUGGCUAUGUGCGUCUAAGCAGGUAGCCGCCUUCCAAUAGGUAAAUCCGUUGGGAGAUUAAGGUGAGAUGCGAAUGCGAGCCUCAGCAAUGAGGCGAGUGGGGCAAGCCAAGCUGACGAGAAAAGCCUCUAGUGAGAUCGCGAGUGCCCGUACCGCAAUCCGACACAGGUAGGCGGGUAGAGAAUACCAAGGCGAUCGGGAGAACCCUCCUUAAGGAACUCUGCAAAAUGACCCCGUAACUUCGGGAGAAGGGGUGCCUCGCACGCUUCGCAGCAAUGUGGAGCAAGUGAUCGAGGCCUCAGCUAAACGGGCUAAGCGACUGUUUAACAAAAACACAGGUCUCUGCGAAGGGGAAACCCUACGUAUAGGGGCUGACACCUGCCCAGUGCCGGAAGGUUAAUGGGAGAGCUGCAAGGCUUGAACUGAAGCCCCGGUGAACGGCGGCCGUAACUAUAACGGUCCUAAGGUGGAUCGCUGCCUUAGAGAAAUUCGACUAUUUGCUGGAACACCUGGCGGAUCCUCCGGUGCUCGCGAGAGAUCGCAGCGACAAUCCGAGAGGCGUUCAUCGGCUAAGCGAU